rnacentral:rRNA from 1 species
GACGAACGCUGGCGGCGUGCUUAACACAUGCAAGUCGAACGCUGAAGCUUGGUGCUUGCACUGGGUGGAUGAGUGGCGAACGGGUGAGUAAUACGUGAGUAACCUGCCCUUGACUCUGGGAUAAGCCUGGGAAACUGGGUCUAAUACUGGAUACGACAUGCCACUGCAUGGUGGUGUGUGGAAAGGGUUUUACUGGUUUUGGAUGGGCUCACGGCCUAUCAGCUUGUUGGUGGGGUAAUGGCCUACCAAGGCGACGACGGGUAGCCGGCCUGAGAGGGUGACCGGCCACACUGGGACUGAGACACGGCCCAGACUCCUACGGGAGGCAGCAGUGGGGAAUAUUGCACAAUGGGCGGAGGCCUGAUGCAGCGACGCCGCGUGAGGGAUGACGGCCUUCGGGUUGUAAACCUCUUUCAGCACGGAAGAAGCGAGAGUGACGGUACGUGCAGAAGAAGCGCCGGCUAACUACGUG